rnacentral:rRNA from 1 species
UACGUAGGGGGCAAGCGUUGUCCGGAUUUAUUGGGCGUAAAGAGCGUGUAGGCGGCUUUACAGGUCCGUUGUGAAAACUCGAGGCUCAACCUCGAGACGCCGGUGGAAACCGUAAAGCUAGAGUCCGGAAGAGGAGAGUGGAAUUCCUGGUGUAGCGGUGAAAUGCGCAGAUAUCAGGAGGAACACCGGUGGCGAAGGCGGGUCUCUGGGCCGAAAUUGACGCUGAGGAGCGAAAGCGUGGGGAGCAAACAGG